GAUGAAGAACGCAGCGAAAUGCGAUAAGUAAUGUGAAUUGCAGAAUUCAGUGAAUCAUCGAAUCUUUGAACGCACAUUGCGCCCGCCAGUAUUCUGGCGGGCAUGCCUGUUCGAGCGUCAUUUCAACCGUCAAGCCCCCGGCUUGUGUUGGGGACCUGCGGCUGCCGCAGGCCCUGAAAAGCAGUGGCGGGCUCGCUGUCACACCGAGCGUAGUAGCAUACAUCUCGCUCUGGGCGUGCUGCGGGUUCCGGCCGUUAAACCACCUUCAUAACCCAAGGUUGACCUCGGAUCAGGUAGGAAGACCCGCUGAACUUAAGCAUAUCAAUAAGCGGAGGA
rnacentral:misc_RNA from 1 species